rnacentral:rRNA from 1 species
CGAGGGGCAGCACGGAUUAGUUUACUAAUUGGGUGGCGACCGGCGCACGGGUGCGUAACGCGUAUGCAACCUACCUUGUACUGGGGUAUAGCCCGGAGAAAUUCGGAUUAAUCCCCCAUAGUAUUAAACAACCGCAUGGUUGAAUAAUUAAAGGUUACGGUACAAGAUGGGCAUGCGUCCUAUUAGCUAGAUGGUGAGGUAACGGCUCACCAUGGCGACGAUAGGUAGGGGGCCUGAGAGGGUGGUCCCCCACACUGGUACUGAGACACGGACCAGACUCCUACGGGAGGCAGCAGUGAGGAAUAUUGGUCAAUGGGCGCAAGCCUGAACCAGCCAUGCCGCGUGCAGGAAGAAUGCCCUAUGGGUUGUAAACUGCUUUUAUUUAGGAAUAAACUCUUGUACGUGUACAAGCCUGAAGGUACUAAAUGAAUAAGCACCGGCUAACUCCGUGCCAGCAGCCGCGGUAAUACGGAGGGUGCAAGCGUUAUCCGGAAUCAUUGGGUUUAAAG